GAAGCGAAAGUAAAAUUUCGUGGAGGUCCGAACCCACGAGCGUUGAAAAGCUCGGGGAUGACUUGUGGGUAGCGGUGAAAUUCCAAUCGAGCCCGGAGAUAGCUGGUUCUCCCCGAAAUAGCUUUAGGGCUAGCCUCAAGGUGAGAGAUACGGAGGUAGAGCACUGAAUGUCCUAGGGGGUAUUGCACCUACCGAAGACUAUCAAACUCCGAAUGCCGUCAUCUUAUACUUGGGAGUCAGACUGUGGGUGAUAAGAUUCAUAGUCGAAAGGGCAACAGCCCAGAUCGUCAGCUAAGGUCCCUAAAUGUAAGUUAAGUGGUAAAGGAUGUGGGAUUGCACAGACAACCAGGAUGUUGGCUUAGAAGCAGCCACUCAUUCAAAGAGUGCGUAAUAGCUCACUGGUCGAGUGAUCCUGCGCCGAAGAUUUCCGGGGCUAAAACUUACUACCGAAGCUACGGCAUCAGUAAUGAUGGGUAGGGGAGCUUCCCAUACGGGUUGAAGCAUGACCGUAAGGACAUGUGGACAGUAUGGGAGUGAGAAUGUUGGCAUGAGUAGCGAGAUGUGGGUGAGAAGCCCACAGGCCGUAAACCCAAGGUUUCCAGGGGAAGGUUCGUCCACCCUGGGUUAGUCGGGACCUAAGCUGAGGCCGAAAGGCGUAGGUGAUGGACAACAGGUUGAUAUUCCUGUACUACCGAUAACC
rnacentral:rRNA from 1 species